rnacentral:rRNA from 1 species
AGUUGCCUACGGGGCGCAGCAGUGGGGAAAAUUGCGCAAUGGGCGAAAGCCUGACGCAGCGACGCCGCGUGAGGGAUGAAGGUCUUCGGAUCGUAAACCUCUGUCAGCAGGGAAGAACGGUCACUGUGCUAAUCAGCAGCGAGUUGACGGUACCUGCAAAGGAAGCACCGGCUAACUCCGUGCCAGCAGCCGCGGUAAUACGGAGGGUGCGAGCGUUAAUCGGAAUUACUGGGCGUAAAGCGCUCGUAGGCGGUAUGUCAAGUCAAGGGCGAAAUCCCCGCGCUCAACGUGGGAACUGCCUUUGA